rnacentral:rRNA from 1 species
UCCGAUGGAGGGGGAUAACUACUGGAAACGGUAGCUAAUACCGCAUAACGUCGCAAGACCAAAGAGGGGGACCUUCGGGCCUCUUGCCAUCGGAUGUGCCCAGAUGGGAUUAGCUAGUAGGUGGGGUAACGGCUCACCUAGGCGACGAUCCCUAGCUGGUCUGAGAGGAUGACCAGCCACACUGGAACUGAGACACGGUCCAG